rnacentral:misc_RNA from 1 species
UAGCAUAAUGAUACUGUAGAAGUUAGCUCUUAAAUACGGUAAAAUACAUCUUUCCGGAAAAAUCUUGCAUAAUGGGAAAAUAAUGCUUUAAAAUUCAACUCCUUCGGAGUACACAAAAAUUUACAAUUUCCUGGAUUCUUUAAACAAUCUUUCAUUGAUUUUGCAAUCAUUUUAGCUUCAUGCUGAAUCUGAUGAUGAAUCAAGAUUCAAUUGAUUCCUCCAUUAGUAUUGCUCUCCCUCAGUAUUUUCUUUUCAAUGUACUUAGCCAAAAUUUCUCUCACACAUUGUUAGGUGCGGCUAGUUUCCAGGCCUAUAAACAUUACCAGAAAUCAUUGCAAGAACACCUGCCUGCCUUGAAAUGGUGAAACCGAGCACCAUCUCUUAGGAAAAUCUCAACACCCCGUGCCAGCGACAUGUAUUUUGCUGCUGUGUGGCAGUCGGAACAAAUUCUUGUAUUCUUAAUCACUCUGAUAGGUGCAUUACUCUUUGUCUUGAUCAGUCCGUAAGUAAUGGCCAAUUUUUCCGUAUGACUAAGGAGUGCCUUUUCCUUCUCUUCCUCAUCGGUGUUCUGAUACACACAGUUGAUGUCAGGCACGUAUCCUAGUUUCUUCAUUUCAGAAACCAACUGAUACAACUCAAAGUAUAUCUCCCCUUCAUCUUGAUGUGGUUCCCCAGCAGCAGAGAACACAUGAACUGUGUUAUUAAUUUGUACCCAGCUCCAUACUUCCCUGAUUUUUACCUCCUUUUCGGCCAUGAGACCUCUGAUACGCUCCACAUCCUCCCAUCUGUUUGACAUGGCAUACAAGUUCAUCAUCAAAACAUAAUUAGCAGAAUUAUAUGGUUCUAAAUUGAAAAGUUCCUUGGCUGCUAUCUCUGCAAAUUCCAAGUUUGUAUGGAUUCUGCAGGAUCCAAGAAAAGCACCCCAAAUAGUAGCAUCUGGAUUUAGUGGCAUUGUUUGAAUGAAGUCCCAAGCUUCAUCUAGAUAACCGGCUCUUCCAAGAAGAUCUACCAUGCAAGAGUAAUGCUCAAUUGUUGGCUUUAUGCCAUAAUCUUUGCCCAUACUAUCAAAGUAAUCCCAUCCUUCAUCAACUAAACCUGAGUUCUUGCAGGCAGAUAGCAGAGCAGUAAAGGUUAUGGAAUCUGGUAGGACACCUGCCCCUUGCAUUUCACUAAAGAGUGAAAUUGCCUCCAUUCCAAGGCCAUAAAUGGAAAAUCCCAUGAUCAUGCAAUUCCAACAGGCUAAUGUCUUGUUUGUUGUUCUCCUGAAAACUUCAUGGGCACUCUUUAAGUCGCCCGACUUACUGUACAUGUCAAUGAGAGCUGUGGCUAUAUAUACGUCUUCGAUGAAUCCACUUUUUGCACUGAAACAGUGAAUUUCUUUACCAUUCUUUAACAGAGAUAGGCCUCCGCAAGUUCUUAGUAAGCUGGAUAGAGUGGCAGAGUUCGGUUUAAUUCCUUCUUGCUGCAUUUGAACAAAAUACUCCAAGGAUUCCCUGUAAUUACCCUUCUGUGAACAGCCUGAUAUGAGGGCAGUCCAUGAAACCACAUUUGGAGUUAAUCCUGAACUUUUGAUAUCGUGAAUUACAGCCAAAGCUUCCUCACUGUGGCCCCACAUUGAGUACCCAGAAACCAUGCCAUUCCAUGUAACUAAAUCUGGCGUAAUCCCUUCCUCUUCCAUAUUAUUCAACAGUCUUCUUGCAUCAUAAAAAUGGCCCUUGAAUGCAUAGCCUGUUAUUAACGAAUUCCAAGCAACGAUAUUCUUAUUCUUCAUAUUAUUGAAAAUUGCCUGAGAAAUAGUUAAACAAUCAUUCUUCACAUACAUGUCUAACAGUGAAGUUCCCACAUAUACAUCAUAGUCAAGCCCAUUUCUUAUCACAUAACCAUGAAUUUCUUUCCCAAUAUUCAAGAGCCUCAAUUCAGUUGCAGCUUGAAGAACGCUAGUAAUAGAGCACGAAUUUGGUCUAAAACUUGAAGCUUGCAUUUUUUCUAAAAUGGUAAGGACUUCUUUAUACGAGCCAUGAACAGCAUGGCCUGAUAAAAGGCAAUUCCAGGUUAUUAUGUCAGGUUUUACUCCGGACGAUUCCAUCUUAUGAAAAAGAUUCCAAGCAUCAUUCAUGUAACCAAGAGCACUAUAGCUUGAGAUAAUUGAAUUCCAAGAAGACAAGUUACGAUCUUUCAUUGAAUCAAAAACUCUUCUAGCUAGUUUAAGUUUGCCAUUUCUAGAGUACAUACUAAUCAAGGAAUUGCAUAUCGACAAAUUUGAUUCUAAUUUAUGUUUUAUAACAUACCCAUGUAUCUGCUUCCCUUCACUGAGGGCUCCAUGCUUUCCACUGGCUUGUAGAAUCUUCAAAAGUGUAAUUGCAUUGGCUUUUACAAAGAAAAACUGCAUUUCUGUAAACAGUUGUAGAGCAUUAACAAGUCUCUCAUUCUUCAGGUUGACCAUGAUUGCCUCAUUCCACAAGAGAUCAUCCCGAUCUGGCAUCUCAUAAAAUACUUGAUUAGCACUUUCCACACCCCAACAUGCCUCAUAAUAAUUCAAUAGUGCACUCUUCACAUAAGUAUCCAAUUCAAAGCCCAUCUUGAUCAAACUAGCAUGGACUUCCAAACCCAGCCAUAAAUCCAUUAUUCUAGUGCAAAUUUUCAAAAUUACAGUAACAACUCUACUAUCAAAUAUCACUCCUUUAAAAUGCAAUUCUUGAAAAACCUGAAGAAUUUGGAUUGGAUGGCCGCCAUAAGUCUCAAAUUCCUCCAAGAAAGAAUUCCACAUAACGUAAUUCCGUGCAAAACCCACGAAGAAAACCAUUGCAGCAGACCUAAAAUCACCAAGUUCCAAGUAAAAAGUGAUCAAAGUUAUAGCCAUGGAAUCGGAAACCCACAUGUUGCACGUUUUUAUCAUCUGGGCAUGCAUUGCUUUAACCGAAUCGAGAGUUUUGACAUCACUCGGGGUAUCUAAGAAUCGGAGAUUUGGGAAAUGCUUCUGCCAAGGAGGUGCUAGUGAGGCAGAGAGAGAGGUAGUCUCAGAGGAGGUAGAUGUGGAAGCAAGAGAAAGAGUAGCUGGUGAAAGAGUAGUUGGUUUAGGCUUGUGGGUUAGUGGGUUUUGGUUUAGAGGGAGGUUAAAGUGGCGGUGAAAUGGAGAAAGCUUGUCCAUGGUGGUUGUGGAAGUUAAGAGAUGGAAACGAAGUUAAAGUUGCUGGACAGUUCAUAGGGAAUAUAGCAAUGCACAGCUCUUAGUUUGCGCUUGCAAAAGACGAGCAAUUGGUGCUUGGAUUCUUGAUGGAUUGUUGAUAAGAUCUUAUCUGCUUUGGAAGUUGGUUAUGUGGGCCCGCCAGCUCCAAAACGCACCGUGUCAAUUCGCAGUAAUAAAUUGUGUAAUCUUUUUCAUCAGCAAAACUAUAAUCCUUUCUCAGAAUAAACAAUUAUGCUAAUUUACGUUUGAAAACAUAUUAUUGAUCAGACAUAUUUAAGUUUAAAUUUUUAUUUUCUAACCUUAAAAAAAAAAAAAUUAGAUCAGAG